AGGAAUGCAGCCCCUCUGUUAUCUCACUUUUUCCCAGCGCUUUGUGAGACAUGCUGCUUCUCAGUAUUUUUCCAUUCAAGAAUUUCCCAGAAACCUCUGUUAGCCUGACUUUAGUCAGGUUGACAUACCUGUUUUUGUCUGCUAUAUCGUUAUUCAGGCCUAACAACCGUGAGCUGACCAA